rnacentral:rRNA from 1 species
UACGAAGGGGGCGAGCGUUGUUCGGAAUUACUGGGCGUAAAGGGCGCGCAGGCGGCCCUUGAAGUCAGGCGUGAAAGCCCCGGGCUCAACCUGGGAGGUGCGCUUGAUACUCGAGGGCUUGAGUACGGGAGAGGAGAGUGGAAUUCCCAGUGUAGAGGUGAAAUUCGUAGAUAUUGGGAAGAACACCGGUGGCGAAGGCGGCUCUCUGGACCGUAACUGACGCUGAGGCGCGAAAGCUAGGGGAGCAAACAGG